UAAUUAAAUUGUAGAUCACCAAUGGCCUUUCAAAAGAUUACAAGACUCUUUACCCUUCUCUCUCUAGGCGGCAGAUAUUCCGCUUUUCAAGAACUGAUGUGUCCAACCGCUGAAGAAGGAAUAACGUAACAUUCUGAGCAGCAGAUAUGCGCAGCUCAUGCUGCUGAAAUCGGAAAAUUACGACCACCUGCAGCCCAGAGAAUGAAUAAUAUCAGAACGGAAGUACCAACAAAGUUGACAAUGGAGCUGUUUUAAACACGGUUUCGCAUUUUUCGCAUUGCCUGAGUAACUUUCAGCAGAAAGUUGGGCACACAAAAAUAGUUCUUUGCUUUGACGUUAUGUUUCCGUUCAUAGGAAUAAUGUAAAAUCAAUAACAGUAAUCUAUUGCAUACAUAAAAAAGUCGAUAUACAGAAAUAAUAUAUGAACGCCAGUCGAA